AUGCCAUUUGUCUCAAAAUACCACAUUGACACAGAGAUCACGAAGGAUGAUGGAUUUGUUUGGAGGUUUACCGGCAUCUAUGGCGAACCAAAAAGUGACGAAAAGGAGAAAACGUGGAAGCUGCUAAGAAAUCUGAAACACCAGAACAACAAGCCGUGGUUGUGUGCGGGCGAUUUUAAUGAAAUCCUACACUCUUGGGAGAAGGAAGGAGGUGUGCCGAGGGGUCAAAGCUGUAUGGAUAGAUUCAAGGCAGCCUUGGAAGUGUGUGAACUUGGUGAUCUGGGAUAUGUGGGGGACACAUUUACAUGGAGAAAUCAUAGUCACACAGCAGCCAAUUAUAUAAAGGAAAGAUUGGACAGAGCGGUGGCGACUCAACCUUGGUGUGAUCGAUUCCCAGCCUUCCGGGUGACGAAUGGGGACACGCGCCACUCGGACCACAGACCGGUCAUUGUGGACACAACUGGUGCAGCGAGGGUAAGGCGUGGAUCUGCCCAAAGCCUUACUCCAAGGUUUGAGGCAAGCUGGCUUGAAGAGGAGGGAUGUAAAGAGAUCGCGAGGGAUGCAUGGCAACUAGAAACACAAGGUACAUGGAAUGAGGUGGCAGUGGCGGUCAAGGGAGUGAUGAAGGAAUUGGUGGAUUGGAGCAAAAAUAUUUUAGGAGACUUGGAUAAGCGGAUAUGUAGGCUGAAAAAGGAGCUUGAGAGGUGCAGGAGAAUGAAUAUAGGAGAGGAGCAAGUGCAACGUGAGCAAAUGCUGCGGUUCAAGUUAAACCUUUGGAAGUACAAAGGGAGACCUACUGGAAACAAGCGCUCAUAUUCACUGGAUGAAGGCAGGAGACCGCAACACAAAAUUUUUCCAUGCCUCGGCUUCGGAGAGAAGAAGAAAGAACCGUAUUAA
rnacentral:rRNA from 1 species